rnacentral:rRNA from 1 species
AUGGGCCCUGAUUGUAUCCCCAUUGAGGUGUGGGAAGGUCUCGGGGACAUAGCGAUAGUAUGGCUAACCAAGCUUUUCAACCUCAUUUUUUGGGCAAACAAGAUGUCAGAAGAAUGGAGACAGAGUAUAUUAGUACCAAUCUUUAAGAACAAGGGGGAUGUUCAGAGUUGUACUAAGUACCGUGGAAUUAAGCUGAUGAGCCAUACAAUGAAGCUAUGGGAGAGAGUCAUUGAGCACCUCUUAAGAAGAAUGACAAGCGUGACCAAAAACCAGUUUGGUUUCAUGCCUGGGAGGUCGACCAUGGAAGCCAUUUUCUUGGUAUGA